GGAAGUAAAAGUCGUAACAAGGUUUCCGUAGGUGAACCUGCGGAAGGAUCAUUAAUGAUUGGCCUAACGGCCUUAUCAACAUAAUCCCUCACCUCUGUGAACCGUUGACCUCCGGGUCUACAUAACAAACAUCAGUGUAAAGAACGUCUUUAUAUUUUAACAAAAUAAAACUUUCAACAACGGAUCUCUUGGCUCUCGCAUCGAUGGAGAACGCAGCGAAAUGCGAUAAGUAGUGUGAAUUGCAGAAAUUGUGAAUCAUCGAAUCUUUGAACGCAAAUUGCACUCUCUGGUAUUCCGGGGAGUAUGCCUGUUUGAGGGUCGUUAGAAAAAAAAUCGAAGCCGUCGCUCUUUAUGAAAUAUGUAACAUAUUUUGUGUUUGGGUGAUUGCGUCGGAAUUGAGCCGUCUUUUUCAUAUGUUAAUUCAUGUCAAAGUGGCUUAAAAUUCAUCAAUCUGGUACGAUUUAAAGCGUAUUUAAGAUCAGCCUUGAUUAAGAACGCGCGACGACGUACCAUCUCAUGUAGUACGUUCGACCUGCUUGUCAGGCUCAUUCGUAUACGACACUCAACUUUUGACCUCAAAUCAGGUAAGAAUACCCGCUGAACUUAAGCAUAUCAAUAAGCGGAGGA
rnacentral:rRNA from 1 species